CCUCUCCCCUGAUGACUUGCACUGGGCUCUGAGUUUAUUUGAAGAGGACGUGCAUCUUUGGCCCUGACAAGCCAGAGUUUCUGAGGAGACU
ensembl:snoRNA